CAAUCGAACCCGGAGAUAGCUGGUUCUCCCCGAAAUAGCUUUAGGGCUAGCCCUGUAUAAACCCAGCGGAGGUAGAGCACUGGAUUUCCGAGGGGGCGUCAAAGCCUGCCAGAGAAUACCAAACUCCGAAUGCCGUAUGGGUGUUGCACAGGAGUCAGGCUGCACGAGAUAAGUCGGGCAGCCGAGAGGGAAAGAGCCCGGACCCGCGGCUAAGGCCCCAAAGUGCAUGUUAAGUGGAAAAGGAUGUGGGGGUUCAAAGACAGCUAGGAUGUUGGCUCAGAAGCAGCCACACAUUAAAAGAGUGCGUAACAGCUCACUAGCCGAGAGCCCCUGCGCCGAAAAUGUCCGGGGCUAAAACAUGCCGCCGAAGCCCGGGGUCCAUGCAAAAGCAUGGGCGGUAGGGGAGCAUUGCCGGCACGAAGAAGCCGUACCGAGAGGGGCGGUGGAGUGCCGGGAAGGGAGAAUGCCGGAAUGAGUAGCGAGAGGAAGGUGAGAAUCCUUCCGGCCGAAUGUCCAAGGUUUCCAGGGUAAAGCUGAUCUGCCCUGGGUGAGUCGGGGCCUAAGGCGAGGCUGAAAAGCGUAGCCGAUGGAUAACAGGUAGAGAUUCCUGUACUGCCUUAUAACAGAAGAUGCGGGGACGCGUUGGCAAAGUGUGAGCCGGGAAAGGAAAAACCGGUGCAAGGACGAGAGGCGUCGGAGGGGAAAGUCCCUUCCGGCAGCAAGCCGGCCGUCUGAUGCAUAGCGAAAAAGAGUAGCGAAACACAUGGAGCGGGCGCCGAGAAAAGCCGCUAUUGUUUGUAAGGUACCCGUACCGAAGACCGACACAGGUGGACAGGGAGAGGAUCCCAAGGCCGGCGGGCGAAGCACUGCCAAGGAACUCGGCAAAAUGGCCCCGUAACUUCGGGAGAAGGGGCGCCCCCGUGAGGGGGCCGCAGAGAAUAGGCCCAAGCAACUGUUUAGCAAAAACACAGGUCUGUGCAAAACCGCAAGGUGAAGUAUACGGGCUGACGCCUGCCCGGUGCUGGAAGGUUAAGGGGAGGGGUAAGCGGGAAACCGCGAAGCUCCGAGCCUAAGCCCCAGUAAACGGCGGCCGUAACUAUAACGGUCCUAAGGUAGCGAAAUUCAUUGUCGGGCAAGUUCCGACCCGCACGAAAGGCGUAAUGAUUUGGGCGCUGUCUCGGCAGUGCACCCGGUGAAAUUGAAGUGCCAGUGAAGAUGCUGGCUACCUGCGCCAGGAC
rnacentral:rRNA from 1 species